GGGAUAUUUGAUAAGAUAACUUAUAAUGAAUCUCACUUAAAAUGCACAUUUUCCCAAAGGAUGUUUGAUACUGUAAGAAAAUUUCGUAUUCAAUGUGGAUUAAAACGUAAGUAAACACACUUGAAACCAAACACUUCGUAGAAAGCGUUUCAAAAUGAACAAAAUAGCCGUUCCAAGGUCAUCAGCGGUGUGAUAAGGCAGACACAUAUCCUGUCAGUGUAUUGUUAGCUCUGCAAUCAAUUGUCACAUGCAACAUUAAAAAGAAAGUUUAACUUGAGGAAAAGUCAUCAUGGCUCAUGACGAAGUAUUCUCCACAAAAAGUCCCCCUGUUCCUUUUGUGUACAACUUUGGACAACUGACCACUGGUAAACUUGUGAAAAUAGAUGGCGUUUCGCAUGCAAAUCCUAGCAGGUUUACAAUAUACAUCCAGCAAGGUGGUGACAGAGAACCUCACGAGAUUGGAAUGUGUUUUGAUGCCAGGUUCAAAUUCAACGCAGAUAAACAUGUAAUAGUACGUAAUCACAAGCAGGGUGGUUGGGGAACAGAAGAAAGGGACAUUCCGUUCUUUCCGUUCCACGAAGGCAAACCAUUCAGUAUUACCAUAUUGUUUCAACAAAACUGCUUCAAGUAACUUAUACUGGACUGAGGUCAAGAGAUGGAUAAACGAAACUUGUCUUGUGAUAAACUGAAUGGUCAAAGACAGAUAUCAUUCUAGGUUACUGUGAACAACACCGAUUUCCUAGAAUUCAGUCAUCGAUUUCGUCCAAUGGAAUACCAGAAUACGGUCCGCAUUGAUGGUGACGUGCAGCUUUCACAAGUGGUUAUCCUGCAACGAAUUUCUUACGGUC
rnacentral:misc_RNA from 1 species